AGCCCAAUACCCACCCCUCCCGGCGCCCAACCCCUCCGCGCCGUCGCUCUCCCGGCGCCGCUCCCCUCCACCGCCCAGCUCCCGUCCUGGCGCCGGACCCUCCCCGCGCUGUUGCUCUCCUCCCGGCGGCGCUCGCCUCCUCCGACGGUGCUCCCCCCCACCACGGCCACUUUUUUUUUGGCCAGUCCCCAGUCCCUACCAGCGCCGCACCAACCUCCCGAUCCGGCAGCGGCGGAUGAGGGGGCGCACUGCGCCCAGCGACUGCGGCCCGCACGUCGCCCAUCGUCUUCUCCACCGCCGCAAAUUGAUGCCGAAAUCCACCCGCCGCAGAUCCGGCCGGGGCCGCUGCCACCCACGCCGCGCCUCCUUCCGGCUGCCGGAGCUUCACGCGUUGCCGAGUCACGCAGCAGCAGGUCAGGGCGCGACCUUACUGGCGAUAGGCAGCCCCACGAAAGCCGACGGCGGCCACACCCUCACGUCGAGACGGCGGCGCCAGCGCGUCGAGACGGCCCGGCAACCUUCCACGACAGCAGACGGCGGCCGCGGCCUGCGCGCAUCCCACGCCGCGCGACCUUCCUGGCGAUAGCCGGCCCGAGACGGUGGUGCCAAGCCCACGAUCCUGCGAAGCGAACCCCGGCCAGGCGCCCAGGCCAGGUCAUGGACUCAUGGCUCUCUCUCUCUCUCUGUAGAGCGGAGCGGAGAUCGGCUCAGCACGUUGGAGUGGAGAAACGCAGCAGCACCUCAUCAUCCUGCUCAUCGUCGUCGAGCGUUGCUGCGUAUUGAUUACAAAUAGCUUUUUUUAGUCAUGUGGUGUGUUGCUUUGGGUGCCUACCUGCUGCUUGUUUGAUGAAAUGUCCAGGCAAGCUAUGUUACGCCGAAAUAGAAGUUGCUAUUGCUUUUAAUUGAUGGACUUUGAUUGUUCUUGUUCCACUGUUAGGGUUCUGCAUAGGAUGCAAAAAUUGUGCCAAUUGGUUUUAGUUCCUUUCGCAUCGUUGACAGCUAGUAUUGUUUCUCCUUCGAGCAUAAAGCAUGGAUAUUUUUGUGUAGGGAAUAUGAGGUGUAAUCCCCUAUUAGUUGUGUGGCAUACAUGAGAUUUUCAUUAAGCCUUAGACCAAUUUUGACACAUGGUGUCUGUGCAUGGUGGCAGCGGCGUACAGCAGCGAGCGGCGGUGCCAAGGUGAGGUGGCCGCACUGAGGGGUUCUAAUGGUACCCAGGUAGGGGCUUUUGCAAUUUCCCUAAGACUGGCAGGAUGGUUCUCAUAAACUAAUUUGAACCAGCCCACAAGUAGAUUAUCUGGCUGGAUUUGGAGGCUGUGGCCCUUUCCGCGCCCCGGCGACGCUUCUACCUGGCAUCCCGUCACUACUUUUUUCUCUACUUUUUUUUUGGCAAGAAGUUGGAUAGACUAAAAAACAUUUACUCUACUUUUUUUCUUUGGCAAGAACAUGAACUGAAAUUUUGCUAGGAUAUGUGUGAAUGGCUGAACGCUAUCAGAAUAAGGAAUAUUGAAGUACUCUUUCUGACAUAGUAUCAACUCUUGGAUUAGUAUGAUGUUGGGCAUUUAUAUGCACGCCAAGAACAUCUGACAUAUCAUCACACCCCACAGGAACAGUUUAGCAAAUAAAAAUUGUUCACCACAUAGGUAAUUCAGUACCUAAUGCUAGAGUAGAUAUAUUGUGCAGCAGGUCAGCUGGAAUGAUUGCUUGCUGGAGUUGCUUGAUAGCAGGAGAUCGCACGUUCUGGUGCCUGGAGGAGUUGAUUUUUUGCUGUAAUGUUUUUUUUAGUUUAAUCUGCAGCUAGUACCAUUGAAUACUAGAUCAUAUGGCUUAUUUUGUACUUCUAUUAAGGACACUACAUUUUUUAACAUUAGGUGGCUUAUCACCCCACUCAAUCUUUGCAUACGAAGUAUCUUUGAGCUGAA